rnacentral:rRNA from 1 species
AGGACGAACGCUGGCGGCGUGCUUAACACAUGCAAGUCGAGCGGAAAGGCCCUUCGGGGUACUCGAGCGGCGAACGGGUGAGUAACACGUGAGCAACCUGCCCCUGGCUCUGGGGAUAGCCUCCGGAAACGGGGAUUAAUACCGGAUAUUCACUGCUUCCUGCAUGGGGGGUGUGGAAAGUUUUUCGGCCAGGGUGGGCUCGCGGCCUAUCAGCUUGUUGGGGGGUGACGGCCCACCAAGGCGACGACGGGUAG